rnacentral:lncRNA from 1 species
CCUGAGAGAAGCACACUUCCUGGUGGUUCUCCAUCUUUAUUAAAGUAGGUACUACAUCAACUGUCCCGCUGUGAAGACCGGUGCACCUGGUGGGUGAAUCACACUUCAUCACUUCGAUGGUAGAGUUACAGAAAUGUAUAAAAUCAGAGCUACCACGCAAUCACAACCAUGGUUAUACAGUUACACGUGGUAAUACUUCGCUAUUAUCGAAG